AAGCGAAACAUAGGCAUUCGUGCCUAUGUCUGCCAGCAGUCGUGUGCUGGUACUGACGAGCAGCGAGAU
rnacentral:hammerhead_ribozyme from 2 species